CCCGGGUCCGCCUGCGCCUGCGCCCGGCCCCGAGCGGCGGCGUUGUGUGCGGCCAGUGCCCGUGAGGGGCUGCGCCCUCAGCGGCGCCGCCGGGGCGGGCCCGGCCGCACGGAGAGGCGCUGCGGGAACCGGGGCUGCAGGGCUACUACCGUCCCCCGGGCUGCGAGGAGUGAGAGACACGGAGAGUUUGUUUGCAGAAACAAGCUCGGAGGGACAAGUCGAGAGGCGGGAACAGUCUGCUUUUGCUAAGAGUGGAAAUGCCUCUGCUGAAAUGAUCUUGUGGAAAUAGGAAGAUGCAAGAAGAAAAUGUUCAAGUAAUCUGUAAAGCCUGCACAAUGCUACAAACAGAAGGAAAGUUCACAUAAGAAAAUGAGAGUUGGUGGAUAGUGAUUGAUCGGUAUCAUAUGCUGUCCUCAUGUGGUAUGUAUGUAUCUGUUUUCCACAAUUAAUGAAAACCCUGUUGUUUUUUCUACUCUACUUCUAAAACAUGCCUUUCUUUUUGUGAUGUCUGUGACUUUCAGUGUUGUUGGGACUUAGUUCCAUUCUUUCCAGUGUUUUUUUUAUUUUUUGCAAUAAUUACAUUAGCUGCCAUCUCCAAAGAGGAAACCAGUUUUUCCAGUUAUAAAUGAGAUUAACUGUGAAAAGUGAGAAAAGGAAGAUGCUGAGGGUGUACCUGAGCAGUAUUUCUACAGCACUUCCAAAAGGUAAUACAAGAUAAUGUUUUGAGAGAACAAUGUGGGCAGAGUAAAGGAGGUAAGUCCUGUACUUCUAGUUAAAUGAUAUUUUUCGUUAUUGUGGGAAAUAUAUCUAUCUAAAUUGCUUUUCUCUGUUUUCCAAAUAUCUUGAAGUUGGAGGCUAGCAUGCACAGGGAGGUUGUUGGUGUGGUUUUCUGUAUUUGCAUGGUGACUUUCAGAAGACCUUAGGGGUGGAAGGAGGGGAAAUAUGUUGGUUUCAUUGCGAGAAUCAGCCUCGAGCUAUACCAUGAUCUUUGCUUCUUCUCCAGCCUCUAACCAGGGUAUGUUGGGACUUCACUUUGUGGGGAUGAGGCAAGUGGAGGCACAAUAGAGACAGGUGAGAUUAUAGAAAACAGUAUUUUUGCUUGUUAGCUCAAAUCAGGCUCUCAGGAAGAAGAUAACUGAGGCAACACCUAACUGGAGAAAGAGCCAGAAAGGGCAAAUUUCUUUGCAAGGACAGUCUAUGGAGUAUAUUAUAAAAUGAUGGCUGUCUUUCACAGAAAUAUUACUAAAAUUGAAUUAAAAAGUAUGCACUUGCAUGUCAAUUUAACCUUUUAAUUUUUCUCCCUUAGCUCAUCCACAUGUUCCCACCUCUUGUAUCUUCCCUUGUAUAAAGCAUCUUCAUUUCAACACUUUUCUCUGUAAAACUCUUCUUUCACUCCCAAACAUUUCUAGCAGAACCCAGCACAGUGUGACUCACAUGUGACAUCCUUCUCAGACCCCCAGGGGAUGGAAACCCUGGCCAGGUUGCUUCAUUACCAAGGAGGGCUGCAAAGUUAUUAUUCAAAUGGUAAAAUUCAUUCAAAAUAAAUCUUGUUGCCUGAGAUGUUAAUGGCUUUAU
rnacentral:lncRNA from 1 species